ACUCAAAUGAAUAGACGGGGAUCCGCACAAGCGGUGGAGCGCGUUGUUCAAUUCGUAGCUAAACGAAGAACCUUACCAGGGUUUGACAUCUAUGGAAUCUCGGAGAAACUCGAGAGUGCCCGCAAGGGAGCCAUAAGACAGGUGCUGCAUGGCUGUCGUCAGUUCGUGUUGUGAGAUGUUAGGUUAAGUCCUUUAACGAGCGCAACCCUUACUGUAUGUUACAUUUCUUACAGGACUGCCUCGCUAAAACGAGGAGGAAGGUGGGGAUGACGUCCAGUCCGCAUGGCCUUUAUACCCUGGGCUACAAACACGCUACAAUGGUCGAGACAAAGGGUUGCAAAACAGCAAUGUUAAGCUAAUCCCAAAAACUCGAUCUCAGUUCGGAUUGCCGGCUGCAACUCGCCGGCAUGAAGUUGGAAUCGCUAGUAACCGUGUGUCAGCAUGGCACGGUGAAUACGUUCUCGGAUCUUGCACACACCGCCCGU
rnacentral:rRNA from 1 species